rnacentral:rRNA from 1 species
UACGGGGGGAGCAAGCGUUGUUCGGAUUUACUGGGCGUAAAGGGCGCGUAGGCGGUCGUGACAAGUCACUUGUGAAAUCUCCGGGCUUAACUCGGAACGGUCAAGUGAUACUGUCGGACUAGAGUACAGAAGGGGCAACUGGAAUUCUCGGUGUAGCGGUGAAAUGCGUAGAUAUCGAGAGGAACACCAGUGGCGAAGGCGAGUCCCUGGACGAACACCUGACACUGGAGGCAACGAAAGCUAGGGGAGCAAACAGG